CCUGCCCCUUCCUUUCCAGCCUCUCUUGUGCCAGCUCUUAGGAUGUGAGAAAAGCCCAGCCCCUGUGUGAAAAGUAAGCCUGAAUGCUAGGGGAGAAGAGCCAGCUUUGAUUUCCAAGCGAGACUAACACUCAGCGAUCUUUGCAGGGGAAGGUGAGGCAGACACAGCAUCAGAGAAGCUCAGGCGCUGGUCCACGGUCGCACAGCUUUAUCGCCGGAAAGCCGAGAUCCAGGGACCUCUCGGAGUCCAGAACAACGAUGGCUCUUGGUUGGCACUCAGGAUUCGGUUGGUGAAGGUGUGGAUGAGGCAGCCUGCUGUUCUUACCACACAUUCAUGCCAACGGGCUGCAGAGACCAACGGACCGAUUGGUGUGCUGGACGUCCGUGCAGGUGUUUGCAGAACUCCGGACGAGGCAAGGGCAGGACGAGACUGUCUUUCCACCCCUGUCUUCCUCCCUCCUUUGGGGUUUCCCGCUCCCAGCGGUGGCUGCUGCAGACCUAGGGACCAUGCACGCACCCCCGCUGGGCCCUCCCAGACCCGCUGAGCGUUGCUGGCUGGGCUGUGCACAUCAAGGCAGAAAUAAAAAGAUGCAACUUUGA